AGCUUUGUGCAGUGGCAGUAUCAUAGCCAAUGAGGUUUAUCCGAGGUACAAUUGUUGCUAAUUGAAAAUAAAAUCACGAAU
rnacentral:snRNA from 1 species